rnacentral:rRNA from 1 species
UACGUAAGGGCCUAGCGUUGUCCGGAUUUAUUGGGCGUAAAGAGCUCGUAGGCGGUUCGGCAAGUCGGAUGUGAAAUCUCCACGCUUAACGUGGAGGGGCCAUUCGAAACUGCCGUGACUCGAGUCCGGUAGGGGAGUGUGGAAUUCCCGGUGUAGCGGUGAAAUGCGCAGAUAUCAGGAGGAACACCAAUGGCGAAGGCAGCUCGCUGGAACGGAACUGACGCUGAGACGCGAAAGCGUGGGGAGCGAACAGG